rnacentral:rRNA from 1 species
GUUGUAUGGUUAAGUGACUAAGCGUACACGGUGGAUGCCUGGGCAGUCAGAGGCGAUGAAGGACGUACUAACUUGCGAUAAGCGCAGAUAAGGCAGUAAGAGCCGUUUGAGUCUGCGAUUUCCGAAUGGGGAAACCCAACUGCAUAAGCAGUUACUGUUAACUGAAUACAUAGGUUAACAGAGCAAACCGGGGGAACUGAAACAUCUAAGUACCCCGAGGAGAAGAAAUCAACCGAGAUUCCGGUAGUAGCGGCGAGCGAACCUGGAUUAGCCCUUAAGCACUCGGUGAAGUAGGUGAACAAGCUGGAAAGCUUGGCGAUACAGGGUGAUAGCCCCGUAACCGACGCUUCAUCGAGCGUGAAAUCGAGUAGGGCGGGACACGUGAUAUCCUGUCUGAAUAUGGGGGGACCAUCCUCCAAGGCUAAAUACUCCUGACUGACCGAUAGUGAACCAGUACCGUGAGGGAAAGGCGAAAAGAACCCCUGUGAGGGGAGUGAAAUAGAACCUGAAACCGUGUACGUACAAGCAGUAGGAGCACCUUCGUGGUGUGACUGCGUACCUUUUGUAUAAUGGGUCAGCGACUUAUAUUCAGUGGCAAGGUUAACCGUAUAGGGGAGCCGUAGCGAAAGCGAGUCUUAACUGGGCGCUCAGUCUCUGGAUAUAGACCCGAAACCGGGUGAUCUAGCCAUGGGCAGGUUGAAGGUUGAGUAACAUCAACUGGAGGACCGAACCGACUAAUGUUGAAAAAUUAGCGGAUGACUUGUGGCUAGGGGUGAAAGGCCAAUCAAACUCGGAGAUAGCUGGUUCUCCCCGAAAGCUAUUUAGGUAGCGCCUCGGACGAAUACUACUGGGGGUAGAGCACUGUUAAGGCUAGGGGGUCAUCCCGACUUACCAACCCUUUGCAAACUCCGAAUACCAGUAAGUACUAUCCGGGAGACACACGGCGGGUGCUAACGUCCGUCGUGGAGAGGGAAACAACCCAGACCGCCAGCUAAGGUCCCAAAGUAUUGCUAAGUGGGAAACGAUGUGGGAAGGCUCAGACAGCUAGGAUGUUGGCUUAGAAGCAGCCAUCAUUUAAAGAAAGCGUAAUAGCUCACUAGUCGAGUCGGCCUGCGCGGAAGAUGUAACGGGGCUAAGCAAUACACCGAAGCUGCGGCAAUGUCUUUUAGACAUUGGGUAGGGGAGCGUUCUGUAAGCCGUUGAAGGUGAAUCGUAAGGUUUGCUGGAGGUAUCAGAAGUGCGAAUGCUGACAUGAGUAACGACAAAGGGGGUGAAAAACCUCCUCGCCGGAAGACCAAGGGUUCCUGUCCAACGUUAAUCGGGGCAGGGUGAGUCGACCCCUAAGGUGAGGCCGAAAGGCGUAAUCGAUGGGAAACGGGUUAAUAUUCCCGUACUUCUGACUAUUGCGAUGGGGGGACGGAGAAGGCUAGGUGGGCCAGGCGACGGUUGUCCUGGUUCAAGUGCGUAGGCUUGAGAGUUAGGUAAAUCCGGCUCUCUUUAAGGCUGAGACACGACGUCGAGCUACUACGG